AGGGUUCGAUCCUGGCUCAGGACGAACGCUGGCGGUGCGCCUUAUGCAUGCAAGUCGAGCGAAGCUUUUUGGUAGUUUACUACUAGAAAUGACUGAGCGGCGAACGGGUGAGUAACGCGUGAGCAAUCUACCUUAGUUACUGGGAUAGCCCGAGGAAACUCGGAUUAAUACCAGAUAUUCUUAUUUUUUCACAUGAAGUUUUAAGGAAAGGUCAGCCGAACUAAGAUGAGCUCGCGUUCUAUCAGCUAGUUGGUGGGGUAAAAGCCUACCAAGGCUACGACGGAUAGCUGGUCUGAGAGGACGAUCAGCCACACUGGGACUGAGACACGGCCCAGACUCCUACGGGAGGCUGCAGCAGGGAAUAUUGUGCAAUGAGCGAAAGCUUGACACAGCGACACCGCGUGUGGGAUGACGGUUCUAGGAUUGUAAACCACUUUCAGGAGGGAAGAAAAUGACGGUACCUCCACAAGAAGACCCGGCCAACUAUGUGCCAGCCGCCGCGGUAAUAC
rnacentral:rRNA from 1 species